rnacentral:sRNA from 2 species
CGACCCUUCUUAAGCCGAGGGUCACCUAGCCAACUGACGUUGUUAGUGAAUACAGAUUGUUCACAUUAAAUAUCAGCCAAUCGCGAUUAUUGCGAUUGGCUAUUUUUUU